rnacentral:ncRNA from 1 species
UUGCGGUUUCCCCUCCAAACCAGAGGGGGACGAAAAGGGAAUCGCGUGAGAAUCGCGAGCUGUCGCGCAACUGUGAAUCGCCGCUAUCACGGGAUGGCCGAACAUGCCAUUGGACCCCUGCAGGUCCGAGAAGGCGCCACCCCGGAGACGAAAGCCAGGAGACCUGCCGCCAUGAG